UCUGUGGGUUGAUUGGAAAAGGAAAACGUUGCAGAAAUGCACUGACAGGGCGGGAGAAAUUUGUCUCUUGAUUCAGAUCGGAGAUAAACUCGGAUGAACAACUAAACUUACCCCCUAAAGCGAUUUAAUUUGUCUCCAAAAGGCUCGUGUUAAACGAAGCACCUGUUCUGGCUUCCCUGCACUCCCCACGACUAUUCCCCUGAAGGACGUCAUGCGGUUUGUUCCAGCUAAAGCGGUUACAGAUCGAUCCUCAGUUCGGGCACUACAAUGUUAUGGGCGCGUGUUCGUUUGGGCUGGACAACGAAUGCGCGAUACUGCCUCCACUGCACCGCUCUCCGCAACGGAGAAAGACAAAUUGAUAAAUGAAUGCAGUGGGAAAUUUAUGUGCAUUUUCAGUGUUAAAUGGAUGGUGUAGUCGUGGAGAAUUCACCUGUUCCACAGAUGGAAAAACACAUGUCCGCCGUUCUGGAUGAUGAUGAUGAUGAUGAUGAUGAUCAUGAACUCUCCUCGAUGGCUAUAAAUAGUUUCAGACUCACACACGAAACGCUCCUGAUUAAUGUCACCCAGUUAGUGCGAAAUUAGAUGAGAAAUUGUCAAAUGAAACAUUUAUAGCGGCUAACCCAAUAAAUUAAUAUUUAUGUGAAAAGUGACAGCCAACACAUACACACA